rnacentral:rRNA from 1 species
UACGGAGGGGGCUAGCGUUGUUCGGAAUUACUGGGCGUAAAGCGCACGUAGGCGGCUUUGUAAGUUAGAGGUGAAAGCCCGGGGCUCAACUCCGGAAUUGCCUUUAAGACUGCAUCGCUAGAAUUGUGGAGAGGUAAGUGGAAUUCCGAGUGUAGAGGUGAAAUUCGUAGAUAUUCGGAAGAACACCAGUGGCGAAGGCGACUUACUGGACACAUAUUGACGCUGAGGUGCGGAAGCGUGGGGAGCAAACAGGG